UUUCCCUUGUGGACUUCUUCGUAUCUGGUGUCCUCCUCGGGUUGGAUACGUCCUUGCGACCGUCUACACUGUGGCGAUGUCGAACACAAUGCUUCCCUUUCACCUCCUGAUGUGAUGAGUUGACUGUGUCGCUGCAGCUCUUUCUGCGGUUAAGGUUUGGUGACUUGGGCCGAGUCAGAGGAAACUGUUGAUCAAACAACCACAGAAUAUUAACAUAGCUCCGUUUGUAGGUAAGACAGUGUGAGAUACUGACAAAAUCAUAACAAAGCUAACAUGGCCAUACACUAGGAUAAUCAGUUCGUGUGGAUAGUGAAGACAUAACUCAUAAGAGAAGGAAACAGAAUCUUACUAUGGGAUUCUGUCAGUACUGGACAAGCAAGAAAGUGAAUCUAAAACGGACACAGAACAAGGAAGCAGAGACACUGUGGUUUUGUUUAUAUACCUUUUUCAAUGGAGGUUUCUGUGGAGGAGGCUCGUAGUAGAAAGUCGGUACGGGAUUAGCUUUGUAAGCCAUGUUCUUCCUGAGUUGC
rnacentral:lncRNA from 1 species